rnacentral:rRNA from 1 species
UACGUAGGUGGCGAGCGUUGUCCGGAUUUACUGGGCGUAAAGAGCGCGCAGGCGGGUGGGCAAGUCCGAUGUGAAAGCUUCCGGCUUAACUGGAAAAUUGCAUCGGAAACUGCUCGGCUUGAAGGUGGGAGAGGGUAGCGGAAUUCCCGGUGUAGUGGUGAAAUGCGUAGAUAUCGGGAGGAACACCAGUGGCGAAGGCGGCUACCUGGCCCACUCUUGACGCUGAGGCGCGAAAGCUAGGGGAGCAAACGGG